rnacentral:lncRNA from 1 species
AACGAUCACAACUAGCAUUACAAAGUUCGAGGGGUAUACGACAUCGAAAUUCUCCAUUUUCUGACGUCAUAUACCUUUCGAAAGUUACAAGGAUUAAGUGAUGACCUUUUGAUUUCUCAUUGAUCAAUUAGACGUUGAAAAAAUGGGAAUUCCAACGGCAUACACCCUCGAAAACGUUGAAUUUUUUAUGGGCAAGUGUAAGUAUUUACUAUCCUAUGACAUUAGAUGCCCUAGAUUAUGACGUCAUAUACCUAUAAGAUGUUGGAAAACAAGUAAUUAUGACGUCAUAUGUCCUGCAAAAAUUUGUAAAAACUUAAUCCACU